rnacentral:tRNA from 1 species
GCGAAUGUGGCGAAGUGGUUAACGUACCGGAUUGUGGCUCCGGCAUUCGUGAGUUCGAUUCUCAUCAUUCGCCC